rnacentral:rRNA from 1 species
GACGAACGCUGGCGGCGUGCUUAACACAUGCAAGUCGAACGGAAAGGCCCUGCUUUUGUGGGGUGCUCGAGUGGCGAACGGGUGAGUAACACGUGAGUAACCUGCCCUUGACUUUGGGAUAACUUCAGGAAACUGGGGCUAAUACCGGAUAGGAGCUCCUGCUGCAUGGUGGGGGUUGGAAAGUUUCGGCGGUUGGGGAUGGACUCGCGGCUUAUCAGCUUGUUGGUGGGGUAGUGGCUUACCAAGGCUUUGACGGGUAGCCGGCCUGAGAGGGUGACCGGCCACAUUGGGACUGAGAUACGGCCCAGACUCCUACGGGAGGCAGCAGUGGGGAAUAUUGCACAAUGGGCGGAAGCCUGAUGCAGCAACGCCGCGUGCGGGAUGACGGCCUUCGGGUUGUAAACCGCUUCCGCCUGUGACGAAGCGUGAGUGACGGUAAUGGGUAAAGAAGCACCGGGUAACUACGUG